rnacentral:misc_RNA from 1 species
GAUGAAGAACGCAGCGAAAUGCGAUAAGUAAUGUGAAUUGCAGAAUUCAGUGAAUCAUCGAAUCUUUGAACGCACAUUGCGCCCGCCAGUAUUCUGGCGGGCAUGCCUGUCUGAGCGUCAUUUCAACCCUCAUGCCCCUAGGGCGUGGUGUUGGGGAUCGGCCAAAGCCCGCGAGGGACGGCCGGCCCCUAAAUCUAGUGGCGGACCCGUCGUGGCCUCCUCUGCGAAGUAGUGAUAUUCCGCAUCGGAGAGCGAUGAGCCCCUGCCGUUAAACCCCCAACUUUCCAAGGUUGACCUCAGAUCAGGGAGGAAUACCCGCUGAACUUAAGCAUAUCAAUAAGCGGAGGA